rnacentral:rRNA from 1 species
UGACCAUAAACGAUGCCAACUGACGAUCCGUGGUGGUAGUAUUUUAACCAUCCCCACGGGCAGUCCCCGGGAAACCUUUAAGUCUUUGGGUUCCGGGGGAAGUAUGGUUGCAAAGCUGAAACUUAAAGGAAUUGACGGAAGGGCACCACCAGGAGUGGAGCCUGCGGCUUAAUUUGACUCAACACGGGAAAACUCACCCGGCCCGGACACUGUGAGGAUUGACAGAUUGAUAGCUCUUUCUUGAUUUGGUGGUUGGUGGUGCAUGGCCGUUCUUAGUUGGUGGAGCGAUUUGUCUGGUUAAUUCCGAUAACGAACGAGACUCUAGCCUGCUAAUUAGUACGCCUGUCCUCUGUUCCUGUGCUGGCGGUACUUUGGCGAAACUGCUCACGUAAGCCGACCACUAUUGGGACGUGUUCUUGCGUGUGCUGCGAGCUCCUCGUGGGUGCGUGGUGCGCGUGGGAGCGUGAACUGUGGUGGAAGGUGUGUGCGGUGGGUCGGGUGCUUGCCUCCGGGUACGGCGCAGGUGUGUCUACUUCUUAGAGGGACAAGCAUUACGAAUGUGUACGAAAUUGAGCAAUAACAGGUCUGUGAUGCCCUUAGAUGUCCGGGGCCGCACGCGCGCUACAAUGACGGUGCCAACGAGUCUGACCUUCUGGCCCGAAAGGGUUGGGCAAACUGGUCAAUCACCGUCAUGACAGGGAUCGGGGCUUGGAAUUGUUCCCCGUGAACGAGGAAUUCCUAGUAAGUGCAAGUCAUAAGCUUGCGCUGAUUACGUCCCUGCCCUUUGUACACACCGCCCGUCGCUACUACCGAUUGAAUGGUUUAGUAAGGUCCUCGGAUUGGCGCCAUUGCAGUGUCAGCCGCAAGGUUGGUGCUCGACAGGUGCCGAGAAGACGACCAAACUUGAUCAUUUAGA